rnacentral:rRNA from 1 species
GGUGAGUAACACGUGAGUAACCUGCCCUUGACUUUGGGAUAACUUCAGGAAACUGGGGCUAAUACCGGAUAGGAGCUCCUGCUGCAUGGUGGGGGUUGGAAAGUUUCGGCGGUUGGGGAUGGACUCGCGGCUUAUCAGCUUGCUGGUGGGGUAGUGGCUUACCAAGGCUUUGACGGGUAGCCGGCCUGAGAGGGUGACCGGCCACAUUGGGACUGAGAUACGGCCCAG